rnacentral:rRNA from 1 species
UACGGAGGGUGCAAGCGUUAAUCGGAAUUACUGGGCGUAAAGCGUGCGCAGGCGGUUUUUUAAGUCCGUUGUGAAAUCCCCGAGCUCAACUUGGGAAUUGCAAUGGAUACUGGCAAGCUGGAGUAUGGUAGAGGAAGGUGGAAUUCCCGGUGUAGCAGUGAAAUGCGUAGAGAUCGGGAGGAACACCAGUGGCGAAGGCGGCCUUCUGGACCAAUACUGACGCUCAUGCACGAAAGCGUGGGGAGCAAACAGG